rnacentral:rRNA from 1 species
GCUAAUGGCGGCAACGCAGCGUCGGUAAGGCGUAGGGGUAAUGGAUGAAUCGGAAACAGUGAGCUAGAAGCGGUCGUAGUGGGCUGGAUAAGGCGAUGGGGAAGGCCCCGGGCGCAAACUGGGAAUGGCAGGCGAGACAGGUCGGUGAGAGUGGGGGAGAGGGAAGUGGAAUUCCCUGUGUAGCUGGGAAAUGCGAAGAUAUCGGGAGGAACAUCAGUGGCGAAGGCGACUGCCUGGCCCAACACGGACGCUGAGGUGCGAAAGCGUGGGUAGCAAACAGGAUUAGAUACCCCGGUAGUC